rnacentral:rRNA from 1 species
AUAACGGUCCUAAGGUAGCGAAAUUCCUUGUCAGGUAAGUUCUGACCCGCACGAAUGGCGUAAUGACUUGGGCACUGUCUCAACUGCAAAUCCGGCGAAGUUGUAGUGCGAGUGAAGAUGCUCGCUACCCGCGAUUGGACGGAAAGACCCCGUAGAGCUUUACUGUAGCUUAGCAUUGAAUUCCGGUAUUGUCUGUACAGGAUAGGUGGGAGACUGGGAAACUAGGGCGUCAGCCUUAGUGGAGUCAUCCUUGGGAUACCACCCUGACAGUACUGGGGUUCUAACAGGAUGCCAUGAAUCUGGUGACUGGACAUUGUUAGGUGGGCAGUUUGACUGGGGCGGUCGCCUCCUAAAAAGUAACGGAGGCGCCCAAAGGUUCCCUCAGAACGGUCGGAAAUCGUUCGUAGAGUGCAAAGGCAGAAGGGAGCCUGACUGCGAGACCUACAAGUCGAGCAGGGACGAAAGUCGGGCUUAGUGAUCCGGUGGUACCUCGUGGGAGGGCCAUCGCUCAACGGAUAAAAGCUACCUCGGGGAUAACAGGCUGAUCUCCCCCAAGAGUUCACAUCGACGGGGAGGUUUGGCACCUCGAUGUCGGCUCAUCGCAUCCUGGAGCUGAAGCAGGUUCCAAGGGUUGGGCUGUUCGCCCAUUAAAGCGGUACGCGAGCUGGGUUCAGAACGUCGUGAGACAGUUCGGUCCCUAUCUGUCGUGGGCGUAGGAAGUUUGAGAAGAUCUGUCCUCAGUACGAGAGGACCGGGAUGGACAUAUCAAUGGUGCACCAGUUGUCACGCCAGUGGCACAGCUGGGUAGCUAAAUAUGGAAGGGAUAAACGCUGAAGGCAUCUAAGUGUGAAACCCACUUCAAGAUGAGACUUCCCAUUACGCAAGUAAGUAAGACCCCUUAAAGACGAUAAGGUUGAUAGGUCAGGAGUGUAAGCAUGGCGACAUGUUCAGCGGACUGAUACUAAUAGGUCGAGGACUUAACCU